rnacentral:rRNA from 1 species
CCUAGAAUAAAUCUGAGGUGUAACCUGCCCAAUGAUUUUUAAUUUAAUAAGGAAGUAAUUAUCUAAAAUAAAAUUUAAAGGACGCAGUAACCUGACUGUGGUAAUGUAGCAUAAUCACUCGCCAUUUGAUUGGUGGAUAGUAUGAACGGUUGAACGAAUUCCCCACUGUCUCAAAAAAAGAAUUCAUGAAAUUAAAAUAAUAGUAAAGAUGCUAUUUAAAAUUGUAAGACGAAAAGACCCUAUAGAGCUUAACUAUGAUUUCCUUAAAAAUAAAGAAUGAAUAUUCAAAAAUAGGGAAACGGGUAGUUUAGUUGGGGCGACUGUCUUCUAAAAAGAACGAAGAUAAGCAAUAUUAAUAAAAUUUAUUGUAUAAUAAAUAAAUUUAACAAUUACAAAAGUAGGCUAUAAUGACCCGUUAUAAGUAAGUGACACCAAUAACGAUCAAUAAAUAAAAGCUACCUUAGGGAUAACAGGAUAAUUUUGUUUUAGAGACCAUAUCGAAAACAAAGUUUGUCACCUCGAUGUUGAAUUAAGAUAUCCUAAUAGUGCAAAAGCUAUUAAAGGUAGGUCUGUUCGACCUUUAAAAU